AGUGAACGCUGGCGGUAGGCCUAACACAUGCAAGUCGAACGGCAGCACAGUAAGAGCUUGCUCUUACGGGUGGCGAGUGGCGGACGGGUGAGGAAUACAUCGGAAUCUACUUUUUCGUGGGGGAUAACGUAGGGAAACUUACGCUAAUACCGCAUACGACCUACGGGUGGAAGCAGGGGAUCUUCGGACCUUGCGCGAUUGAAUGAGCCGAUGUCGGAUUAGCUAGUUGGCGGGGUAAAGGCCCACCAAGGCGACGAUCCGUAGCUGGUCUGAGAGGAUGAUCAGCCACACUGGAACUGAGACACGGUCCAGACUCCUACGGGGGGCAGCAGUGGGGAAUAUUGGACAAUGGGCGCAAGCCUGAUCCAGCCAUACCGCGUGGGUGAAGAAGGCCUUCGGGUUGUAAAGCCCUUUUGUUGGGAAAGAAAAGCAGCAGGUUAAUACCCCGCUGUUCUGACGGUACCCAAAGAAUAAGCACCGGCUAACUUCGUG
rnacentral:rRNA from 1 species